UGGGGAAUAUUGCACAAUGGGCGCAAGCCUGAUGCAGCCAUGCCGCGUGUAUGAAGAAGGCCUUCGGGUUGUAAAGUACUUUCAGCGGGGAGGAAGGCGAUAAGGUUAAUAACCUUGUCGAUUGACGUUACCCGCAGAAGAAGCACCGGCUAACUCCGUGCCAGCAGCCGCGGUAAUACGGAGGGUGCAAGCGUUAAUCGGAAUUACUGGGCGUAAAGCGCACGCAGGCGGUCUGUCAAGUCGGAUGUGAAAUCCCCGGGCUCAACCUGGGAACUGCAUUCGAAACUGGCAGGCUAGAGUCGUGUAGAGGGGGGUAGAAUUCCAGGUGUAGCGGUGAAAUGCGUAGAGAUCUGGAGGAAUACCGGUGGCGAAGGC
rnacentral:rRNA from 1 species